AACCUGCGGUUGGAUCACCUC
rnacentral:rRNA from 1 species